rnacentral:miRNA from 1 species
CUUGCCCUUCUUCCUCUGACCUU